GGUUAAGCGACUAAGCGUACACGGUGGAUGCCCUGGCAGUCAGAGGCGAUGAAGGACGUGCUAAUCUGCGAUAAGCGUCGGUAAGGUGAUAUGAACCGUUAUAACCGGCGAUUUCCGAAUGGGGAAACCCAGUGUGAUUCGUCACACUAUCAUUAACUGAAUCCAUAGGUUAAUGAGGCGAACCGGGGGAACUGAAACAUCUAAGUACCCCGAGGAAAAGAAAUCAACCGAGAUUCCCCCAGUAGCGGCGAGCGAACGGGGAGCAGCCCAGAGCCUGAAUCAGUGUGUGUGUUAGUGGAAGCGUCUGGAAAGGCGCGCGAUACAGGGUGACAGCCCCGUACACAAAAAUGCACAUGCUGUGAGCUCGAUGAGUAGGGCGGGACACGUGGUAUCCUGUCUGAAUAUGGGGGGACCAUCCUCCAAGGCUAAAUACUCCUGACUGACCGAUAGUGAACCAGUACCGUGAGGGAAAGGCGAAAAGAACCCCGGCGAGGGGAGUGAAAAAGAACCUGAAACCGUGUACGUACAAGCAGUGGGAGCACGCUUAGGCGUGUGACUGCGUACCUUUUGUAUAAUGGGUCAGCGACUUAUAUUCUGUAGCAAGGUUAACCGAAUAGGGGAGCCGAAGGGAAACCGAGUCUUAACUGGGCGUUAAGUUGCAGGGUAUAGACCCGAAACCCGGUGAUCUAGCCAUGGGCAGGUUGAAGGUUGGGUAACACUAACUGGAGGACCGAACCGACUAAUGUUGAAAAAUUAGCGGAUGACUUGUGGCUGGGGGUGAAAGGCCAAUCAAACCGGGAGAUAGCUGGUUCUCCCCGAAAGCUAUUUAGGUAGCGCCUCGUGAAUUCAUCUCCGGGGGUAGAGCACUGUUUCGGCAAGGGGGUCAUCCCGACUUACCAACCCGAUGCAAACUGCGAAUACCGGAGAAUGUUAUCACGGGAGACACACGGCGGGUGCUAACGUCCGUCGUGAAGAGGGAAACAACCCAGACCGCCAGCUAAGGUCCCAAAGUCAUGGUUAAGUGGGAAACGAUGUGGGAAGGCCCAGACAGCCAGGAUGUUGGCUUAGAAGCAGCCAUCAUUUAAAGAAAGCGUAAUAGCUCACUGGUCGAGUCGGCCUGCGCGGAAGAUGUAACGGGGCUAAACCAUGCACCGAAGCUGCGGCAGCGACGCUGAUGCGUUGUUGGGUAGGGGAGCGUUCUGUAAGCCUGUGAAGGUGUACUGUGAGGUAUGCUGGAGGUAUCAGAAGUGCGAAUGCUGACAUAAGUAACGAUAAAGCGGGUGAAAAGCCCGCUCGCCGGAAGACCAAGGGUUCCUGUCCAACGUUAAUCGGGGCAGGGUGAGUCGACCCCUAAGGCGAGGCCGAAAGGCGUAGUCGAUGGGAAACAGGUUAAUAUUCCUGUACUUGGUGUUACUGCGAAGGGGGGACGGAGAAGGCUAUGUUGGCCGGGCGACGGUUGUCCCGGUUUAAGCGUGUAGGCUGGUUUUCCAGGCAAAUCCGGAAAAUCAAGGCUGAGGCGUGAUGACGAGGCACUACGGUGCUGAAGCAACAAAUGCCCUGCUUCCAGGAAAAGCCUCUAAGCAUCAGGUAACAUCAAAUCGUACCCCAAACCGACACAGGUGGUCAGGUAGAGAAUACCAAGGCGCUUGAGAGAACUCGGGUGAAGGAACUAGGCAAAAUGGUGCCGUAACUUCGGGAGAAGGCACGCUGAUAUGUAGGUGAAGUCCCUCGCGGAUGGAGCUGAAAUCAGUCGAAGAUACCAGCUGGCUGCAACUGUUUAUUAAAAACACAGCACUGUGCAAACACGAAAGUGGACGUAUACGGUGUGACGCCUGCCCGGUGCCGGAAGGUUAAUUGAUGGGGUUAGCGCAAGCGAAGCUCUUGAUCGAAGCCCCGGUAAACGGCGGCCGUAACUAUAACGGUCCUAAGGUAGCGAAAUUCCUUGUCGGGUAAGUUCCGACCUGCACGAAUGGCGUAAUGAUGGCCAGGCUGUCUCCACCCGAGACUCAGUGAAAUUGAACUCGCUGUGAAGAUGCAGUGUACCCGCGGCAAGACGGAAAGACCCCGUGAACCUUUACUAUAGCUUGACACUGAACAUUGAGCCUUGAUGUGUAGGAUAGGUGGGAGGCUUUGAAGUGUGGACGCCAGUCUGCAUGGAGCCGACCUUGAAAUACCACCCUUUAAUGUUUGAUGUUCUAACGUUGACCCGUAAUCCGGGUUGCGGACAGUGUCUGGUGGGUAGUUUGACUGGGGCGGUCUCCUCCUAAAGAGUAACGGAGGAGCACGAAGGUUGGCUAAUCCUGGUCGGACAUCAGGAGGUUAGUGCAAUGGCAUAAGCCAGCUUGACUGCGAGCGUGACGGCGCGAGCAGGUGCGAAAGCAGGUCAUAGUGAUCCGGUGGUUCUGAAUGGAAGGGCCAUCGCUCAACGGAUAAAAGGUACUCCGGGGAUAACAGGCUGAUACCGCCCAAGAGUUCAUAUCGACGGCGGUGUUUGGCACCUCGAUGUCGGCUCAUCACAUCCUGGGGCUGAAGUAGGUCCCAAGGGUAUGGCUGUUCGCCAUUUAAAGUGGUACGCGAGCUGGGUUUAGAACGUCGUGAGACAGUUCGGUCCCUAUCUGCCGUGGGCGCUGGAGAACUGAGGGGGGCUGCUCCUAGUACGAGAGGACCGGAGUGGACGCAUCACUGGUGUUCGGGUUGUCAUGCCAAUGGCACUGCCCGGUAGCUAAAUGCGGAAGAGAUAAGUGCUGAAAGCAUCUAAGCACGAAACUUGCCCCGAGAUGAGUUCUCCCUGACUCCUUGAGAGUCCUGAAGGAACGUUGAAGACGACGACGUUGAUAGGCCGGGUGUGUAAGCGCAGCGAUGCGUUGAGCUAACCGGUACUAAUGAACCGUGAGGCUUAACCUU
rnacentral:rRNA from 2 species